rnacentral:tRNA from 1 species
GUCAGGAUGGCUGAGCGGUCUAAGGCGCUGCGUUCAGGUCGCAGUCUCCUCUGGAGGCGUGGGUUUGAAUCCCACUUCUGACA